AUUCCUGGCUCAGGAUGAACGCUGGCGGCGUGCUUAACACAUGCAAGUCGAACGAUGAAGCCCUUCGGGGUGGAUUAGUGGCGAACGGGUGAGUAACACGUGGGCAAUCUGCCCUUCACUCUGGGACAAGCCCUGGAAACGGGGUCUAAUACCGGAUAACACCGGCUUCCGCAUGGGAGCUGGUUAAAAGCUCCGGCGGUGAAGGAUGAGCCCGCGGCCUAUCAGCUUGUUGGUGGGGUAAUGGCCUACCAAGGCGACGACGGGUAGCCGGCCUGAGAGGGCGACCGGCCACACUGGGACUGAGACACGGCCCAGACUCCUACGGGAGGCAGCAGUGGGGAAUAUUGCACAAUGGGCGAAAGCCUGAUGCAGCGACGCCGCGUGAGGGAUGACGGCCUUCGGGUUGUAAACCUCUUUCAGCAGGGAAGAAGCGAAAGUGACGGUACCUGCAGAAGAAGCGCCGGCUAACUACGUGCCAGCAG
rnacentral:rRNA from 1 species